rfam:Ruminococcus sp. CAG:9 genomic scaffold, scf180
GGGAGCCGUAUGAGUCGAGAGGCUCACGUACGGUUCUGAUGGGGACUCAAGGGGAGGUUCCUUGGGUCUACCUACUUUGU